rnacentral:rRNA from 1 species
UACAGAGGAGCCAAGCGUUGUCCGGAUUGACUGGGCGUAAAGCGCACGCAGGCGGACGCGCGCGUGGGGUGUGAAAUCUGGCCGCUUAACGGCCAGGCGCCAUCCCAUACGGCGCGUCUGGAGUGAUGCAGAGGUCGGUGGAAUUGCCGGUGUAGUGGUGAAAUGCGUAGAGAUCGGCAGGAACACCCAGGGGGAAACCAGCCGACUGGGCAUCUACUGACGCUGAGGUGCGAGAGCGUGGGGAGCGAACCGG